rnacentral:rRNA from 1 species
UCUUGGUCAUUUAGAGGAAGUAAAAGUCGUAACAAGGUCUCCGUAGGUGAACCUGCGGAGGGAUCAUUACAGAGUUCGUGCCCUCACGGGUAGAUCUCCCACCCUAUGUUAUUGUUACCUUUGUUGCUUUGGCGGGCCGCCAGGCCCCGGCCAGGCUACCGGCCCCCCGCUGGUAAGCGCCCGCCAGAGGACCCCAAACCCUGAAUAUCAGUGUCGUCUGAGUACUAUAUAAUAGUUAAAACUUUCAACAACGGAUCUCUUGGUUCUGGCAUCGAUGAAGAACGCAGCGAAAUGCGAUAAGUAAUGCGAAUUGCAGAAUUCCAGUGAGUCAUCGAAUCUUUGAACGCACAUUGCGCCCUUUGGUAUUCCGAAGGGCAUGCCUGUUCGAGCGUCAUUAUCACCCCUCAAGCCCCGUGCUUGGUGUUGGAUGGCCGGUCGAGGUUCGCCCCGACCCCUCCUAAAGACAAUGACGGCGACCUGUGGUUCCCCCGGUACACUGAGCUUUUCGCAGAGCACGUACCGGACGAGGGCGCCCGGGUCACGGUCCCCUCCUCCUCGUGAGGAAAUAUUUUUCAAGGUUGACCUCGGAUCAGGUAGGAAUACGCGCUGAACUUAAGCAUAUCAAUAAGCGGAGGA